rnacentral:rRNA from 1 species
AGAUCUGACGGUACUGAUGAUAGCCACGGCUAAUUCCGUGCCAGCAGCCGCGGUAAUACGGGAGUGGCAAGCGUUAUCCGGAAUUAUUGGGCGUAAAGCGUCCGCAGGCGGCCCUUCAAGUCUGCUGUUAAAAAGUGGAGCUUAACUCCAUCAUGGCAGUGGAAACUGUGGGGCUUGAGUGUGGUAGGGGCAGAGGGAAUUCCCGGUGUAGCGGUGAAAUGCGUAGAUAUCGGGAAGAACACCAGUGGCGAAGGCGCUCUGCUGGGCCAUCACUGACGCUCAUGGACGAAAGCCAGGGGAGCGAAAGGGAUUAGAUACCCCUGUAGUCCUGGCCGUAAACGAUGAACACUAGGUGUCGGGGGAAUCGACCCCUCCGGUGUCGUAGCCAACGCGUUAAGUGUUCCGCCUGGGGAGUACGCACGCAAGUGUGAAACUCAAAGGAAUUGACGGGGGCCCGCACAAGCGGUGGAGUAUGUGGUUUAAUUCGAUGCAACGCGAAGAACCUUACCAGGGUUUGACAUCCUGCGAAUCUCUUGGAAACUUGAGAGUGCCUUCGGGAGCGCAGUGACAGGUGGUGCAUGGCUGUCGUCAGCUCGUGUCGUGAGAUGUUGGGUUAAGUCCCGCAACGAGCGCAACCCACGUCUUUAGUUGCCAGCAUUUAGUUGGGCACUCUAGAGAGACCGCCGGUGAUAAACCGGAGGAAGGUGUGGAUGACGUCAAGUCAUCAUGCCCCUUACAUCCUGGGCUACACACGUACUACAAUGCUACGGACAAAGGGCAGCAAGUUCGCGAGGACAAGCAAAUCCCAUAAACCGUGGCUCAGUUCAGAUCGUAGGCUGCAACUCGCCUACGUGAAGGAGGAAUCGCUAGUAAUCGCAGGUCAGCAUACUGCGGUGAAUACGUCCCGG